UACUUCAUAUUUUGUGAUGCAUGGAUGUC
rnacentral:piRNA from 1 species